GCUGUUUACUGUUGGCUUGUUUGGCAGCCCCUUGGUUGCAGUAUUGUUUACUUCUGGAUUGUUGGUCUGAUGUUGACCUUGGUGUUAAUCUCUGCUCAUCUGGGUGCUGAUUGGUGGCAGGGAGAGUUUUGGUCGUUUUGUUCACUUCUUGCACAGUAUGUAGCUGUUGUUUAUGUGUCUGUUGGUGGCCAAUUUGUCACAAUGUCAGGCUUCCAGGAAAUCUCUAGGGUUUUCAGACUUGGUUUGGUCUAGGAUGGGCACGGUUUCCCCAUUGAAACUAGGGUUAAUUCUGUCCGUGGGUUGAGAAAUGAAAGGUUUUUCAUCGUGUCUACUGACUGCUACUGGAUGCCUUCUGCCAGUCCUCUGCCUGUUUGGCCUACAUAUUGGCUGUUGCAGUCUUUAUUUCCACUGUACGUUGGAGAUGAUUCUGGGGCUGCUGGGUUUUUUUAUAACUUAGGAUGUUUUGAAGAGCUUUAAUUGGUUUGCGUGCUAUCCUGAUACUAUGUGGUUGCAGUAGUCUGUUGGUAGUUUCUGAGAUGUUUUGGAAUCUUUUAAUAUUCCAUAUUCUUUUGAAAAUGUUGGUGAUGGUUUUGUGGGUGUUCUCUAAUUGGUCCUGUUUUAUUGUGGUGAAGUUGUCAUCUGCAUACCUGAUUCAUAUUUGGGGUUGUAUUUGUGGGAGUGCUAUUGACUCCAGAUGUUGCAUUACAACUUUCGCUAUGAGUCCUGGAAGUGGUAAUUCCAUGAUUUGAUUUGUUGACAAGUUUGUCCAUUGAAUUGAAAGUAUGUGGUUAGGCUGAGGUUGAUAAGAUCCAUGAUUUUGAGUGUUUCAGUCUUGGUGUAUUUGGUUAGGUCAGGUGUCCGUGGAGCAAAGUAGUCCUGGAUUCUUUACUUAAUUCUGGCUCUGUGGAUGUGAAAAGGUCUGUGACAGCAAAUGAGACCCUCAUUUCAUCCUCAUCUAUUGUUGUGUCUUUGAUUCUUUGAAGGCCUGUUGUGGGGAGUUGAUGGCGUAUUUGCUUCCCCCUGUGAGGUGCCGAGGCUUUUUGGUUAAUUCUUUUGUGAUUCUGCAGGUUCUGUAUUUUGGGGCAUCUCUAGAAACAUGAAAGAUGGGUCCACUGCUUCUCAUCCGUCCCUAUUCCUCUUUGGUAAUUUGAUCUUUCUUGGUGAGGUCACUGAGAAUUUUCUUGAGCCAGUUCCCCAAAGUAAUCGCCAAACCUUCUGCAAGAGAAGCUGCAUAAGAACUCUAUAUAGACAUGCACCAACAUUGCAGCAACCCUGAACAGCAGCAAAAGGAAACAGAUCAUCUACACACCUUCCAACAAAAUGGAUAUCCACACAACUCCAGCAAAAAGUGCCCGACCACUUAACACACCAUAACCAUAACCACAACCAAAACAAACCGCAAAAGGGAUAAUAACACUGCCAUAUAUCAAAAACAGCUCAGAAACUAC